rnacentral:rRNA from 1 species
UACGAAGGGGGCUAGCGUUGUUCGGAAUUACUGGGCGUAAAGCGUGCGCAGGCGGCCUUCCAAGUCAGGGGUGAAAGCCCAGAGCUCAACUCUGGAAUUGCCUUUGAGACUGUGAGGCUUGAGUACGGGAGAGGUGAGUGGAAUUCCCAGUGUAGAGGUGAAAUUCGUAGAUAUUGGGAAGAACACCGGUGGCGAAGGCGGCUCACUGGCCCGAAACUGACGCUCAUGCACGACAGCGUGGGGGAUCAAACAGG